UACGGGGGGAGCAAGCGUUGUUCGGAUUUACUGGGCGUAAAGGGCGCGUAGGCGGUCAGCACAAGUCAGUUGUGAAAUCUCCGGGCUUAACUCGGAAAGGUCAACUGAUACUGUGCGACUAGAGUGCAGAAGGGGCAACUGGAAUUCUCGGUGUAGCGGUGAAAUGCGUAGAUAUCGAGAGGAACACCUGCGGCGAAGGCGGCUCUCUGGGCCUUUCCUGACGCUGAGACGCGAAAGCGUGGGGAGCGAACCGG
rnacentral:rRNA from 1 species